UGCUUCAGUCUCUUCUGUAAUACCUUCUUCAGUAUCUUCUUUAAUACCUGCUUCCAUCUCUUCUCUAAUAACUGCUUCAGUCUCUUCUUUACUAAUUGCUUCAGUCUCUUCUUUACUAACCGCUUCAGUCUCUUCUUUACUAAUAAAUUCAGUCUCUUCUUUACUAAUUGCUUCAGUCUCUUCUUUACUAACCGCUUCAGUCUCUUCUUUACUAACCGCUUCAGUCUCUUCUUUACUAACCGCUUCAGUCUCUUCUUUACUA